rnacentral:rRNA from 1 species
CCUGGCUCAGGAUGAACGCUAGCUACAGGCUUAACACAUGCAAGUCAGGGGCAGCAUGGGAUAGCUGCUAUUCAGAUGGCGACCGGCGCACGGGUGAGUAACGCGUAUCCAACCUCCUGCCAGUAGGGAACAGCCCGGCGAAAGUCGGAUUAAUGCCCUAUGUUCUUCAAUGCGGACAUCUAAGUUGAAGGAAAGAUUCAUCGCUGGCAGAUGGGGAUGCGUCCGAUUAGCUUGCCGGCGGGGUAACGGCCCACCGGGGCGACGAUCGGUAGGGGUUCUGAGAGGAAGGUCCCCCACAUUGGUACUGAGACACGGACCAAACUCCUACGGGAGGCAGCAGUGAGGAAUAUUGGUCAAUGGGCGCGAGCCUGAACCAGCCAAGUAGCGUGCAGGAAGAACCUGCCCUAUGGGUUGUAAACUGCUUUUAUGCGGGGAUAAAGUGCAGCACGUGUGCUGUUUUGUAGGUACCGCAUGAAUAAGGACCGGCUAAUUCCGUGCCAGCCGCAGC